GACAGAGGGGGCAAGCGUUGCUCGGAAUUACUGGGCGUAAAGGGCGCGUAGGCGGGAUGGCAAGUCGGUCGUGAAAUCCCCGGGCUCAACCUGGGAAUGGCGAUGGUGACUGCAAGGCUAGAGUUUGGCAGAGGGGGGUAGAAUUCCACGUGUAGCAGUGAAAUGCGUAGAUAUGUGGAGGAACACCGAUGGCGAAGGCAGCCCCCUGGGUCAAAACUGACGCUCAGGCACGAAAGCGUGGGGAGCAAACAGG
rnacentral:rRNA from 1 species